GAACGUUUCAUUUCAUUUUAUUGUGUUAACCUUAUUGUAUAAUAUCAUAUCUAGGUACAAUAAUUUUAAGAAAAAAUCACCAAAGUCUCCAGAUUUAUCUAAUAUUAACCCAUUCCGUACCUUACGGUAAAUAAUUAAAUAAUAUAAUAUUAUAUUCAUUUCAAACAAAAUUAUUUCUUAACGCAUUUCUGCACGAAUGGAAAACAUAGUUUAUCGCAGCAAUCAUCAUUGCGCUUACACUAUUUUCCCUUACUUAAACAUGAUUGAUGAACUGCACUGCUACUGCUUUCUUUAAUGAAGUAUGCAUUUGUAAUCUCGGCGACGCACACGAAACAAACAAGAAGAAGUAUUAAGCUUGUGCGAGACAUUUUGUGUAUAAUUUUGCUUAGAGCUCUGAUAGCGGUAAGCAAAUGAUGCAAGGUGCAGUGGCGACAGUCGAUAUAUAUACCCGCGUUAACGCUUUAUGUUAAUGUUCACAGGUAUUAUGGAUGGUGCUCGUCGUCCUGUUAUCUGCGUUUAUUAUCACAUUAAAAACGAAAUAUAACUCGAUAUGUAAAUCCUGAGGCAAAAAAUUUAGACUGAAAAAUAUUACGUUUUUGUCUCUUUUAUUUUGAU
rnacentral:misc_RNA from 1 species